CCUUGUGCCAGCAGCCGCGGUAAAACCAGCUCUUCAAGUGGUCGGGAUAAUUAUUGGGCUUAAAGUGUCCGUAGUCGGUUUAGUAAGUUCCUGGUAAAACCGGGCAGCUUAACUGUCCGUAUGCUAGGAAUACUGCUAUGCUAGAGGGCGGGAGAGGUCUGAGGUACUACAGGGGUAGGGGUGAAAUCUUAUAAUCCUUGUAGGACCACCAGUGGCGAAAGCAUCAGACUGGAACGCGCCUGACGGUGAGGGACGAAAGCCAGGGGAGCGAACCGGAUUAGAUACCCGGGUAGUCCUGGCCGUAAACGAUGCAUACUAGGCAAUGGUGCGGCCAUGAGCCGCAUCAGUACCGUAGGGAAACCGUUAAGUGUGCCGCCUGGGAAGUACGGUCGCAAGGCUAAAACUUAAAGGAAUUGGCGGGGGAGCACCACAAGGGGUGAAGCCUGCGGUUCAAUUGGACCCAACGCCGGGAAACUUACCAGGGGAGACAGCAGAAUGACAGUCAGGUUGACGACCUUACUCGACGAGCUGAGAGGAGGUGCAUGGCCGUCGCCAGUUCGUGCUGUGAGGUGUCCUGUUAAGUCAGGCAACGAACGAGAUCCGCGCCUUUAUUUGCCAUCAAGAAGUCACGACUUCGUUGGGAACUCUAAAGGGACCGCCGUCGAUAAGACGGAGGAAGGAGCGGGCAAAGGCAGGUCUGU
rnacentral:rRNA from 1 species